AAGUCUGAUGGAGUAAGAUAUUUCAGGCUUUGGAUACACAGAUUAUACAUGUUAGGAUUAAUUCACUGUUGUUUUUGGUCUCUUUAUGGGAUUUUUUACAAAGAGA